rnacentral:misc_RNA from 1 species
CUUCUCCAAUUGUCGUUUUUGACAUUCUUAGUAUCAAAACGCUCCUUUCUUCAUGGGCAUCAUGUAGAUACCAAUUUUGCGUGGUAUCGUUUCCCGAUUUGUGCGAAUCAAGCUUUAGAAGUUUUAGCCUAUUUCGACUUUUAGACUAAAAUUCUCGUAAACCGUGAACCCCACGAAAAAUCCGAGAGUAUCGGAGUGCUCCCCUCGAUGAAAG